AUUGAACGCUGGCGGCAGGCCUAACACAUGCAAGUCGAACGAGUGGCGGACGGGUGAGUAAUGUCUGGGAAACUGCCUGAUGGAGGGGGAUAACUACUGGAAACGGGAGCUAAUAACGCAUACCAUCAGAUGUGCCCAGAUGGGAUGAGCUUGUUGGUGGGGUAACGGCUCACCAAGGCGACGAUCCCUAUCUGGUCUGAGAGGAUGACCAUCCACACUGGAACUGGGACCCGGUCCAGACUCCUACGGGAGGCAGCAGUGGGGAAUAUUGCACAAUGGGCGCAAUCCUGAUGCAGCCAUGCCUCUUGUAUGUAGAAGGCCUUCGGGUUGUAAAGUACUUUCAGCUGGUAGGCGUUACCCGCAGAAGAAGCACCGGCUAACUCCGUGCCAGCAGCCGCGGUAAUAC
rnacentral:rRNA from 1 species